GACGAACGCUGGCGGCGUGCCUAAUACAUGCAAGUAGAACGCUGAAGAGAGGAGCUUGCUCUUCUUGGAUGAGUUGCGAACGGGUGAGUAACGCGUAGGUAACCUGCCUUGUAGCGGGGGAUAACUAUUGGAAACGAUAGCUAAUACCGCAUAACAAUGGAUGACACAUGUCAUUUAUUUGAAAGGGGCAAUUGCUCCACUACAAGAUGGACCUGCGUUGUAUUAGCUAGUAGGUGAGGUAAUGGCACACCUAGGCGACGAUACAUAGCCGACCUGAGAGGGUGAUCGGCCACACUGGGACUGAGACACGGCCCAGACUCCUACGGGAGGCAGCAGUAGGGAAUCUUCGGCAAUGGGGGCAACCCUGACCGAGCAACGCCGCGUGAGUGAAGAAGGUUUUCGGAUCGUAAAGCUCUGUUGUAAGUCAAGAACGGGUGUGAGAGUGGAAAGUUCACACUGUGACGGUAGCUUACCAGAAAGGGACGGCUAACUACGUG
rnacentral:rRNA from 1 species